rnacentral:piRNA from 1 species
UUUUCCAAUGGCCUUUUGAUG